GAGUUUGAUCAUGGCUCAGAUUGAACGCUGGCGGCAGGCCUAACACAUGCAAGUCGAACGGCAGCACAGAGGAGCUUGCUCCUUGGGUGGCGAGUGGCGGACGGGUGAGGAAUGCAUCGGAAUCUGCCUAUUUGUGGGGGAUAACGUAGGGAAACUUACGCUAAUACCGCAUACGUCCUACGGGAGAAAGUGGGGGACCUUCGGGCCUCACGCAGAUAGAUGAGCCGAUGCCGGAUUAGCUAGUUGGCGGGGUAAAGGCCCACCAAGGCGACGAUCCGUAGCUGGUCUGAGAGGAUGAUCAGCCACACUGGAACUGAGACACGGUCCAGACUCCUACGGGAGGCAGCAGUGGGGAAUAUUGGACAAUGGGCGCAAGCCUGAUCCAGCCAUGCCGCGUGUGUGAAGAAGGCCUCGGUUGUAA
rnacentral:rRNA from 1 species